UACGUAGGGUGCGAGCGUUAAUCGGAAUUACUGGGCGUAAAGCGUGCGCAGGCGGUUUUGUAAAGACAGGUGUCGAAAUCCCCGGGCUUAACCUGGGAACUGCAUUUGUGACUGCAAAGCUGGAGUGCGGCAGAGGGGGAUGGAAUUCCGCGUGUAGCAGUGAAAUGCGUAGAUAUGCGGAGGAACACCGAUGGCGAAGGCAAUCCCCUGGGCCUGCACUGACGCUCAUGCACGAAAGCGUGGGGAGCAAACAGG
rnacentral:rRNA from 1 species